rnacentral:rRNA from 1 species
GACGAACGCUGGCGGCGUGCUUAACACAUGCAAGUCGAACGGAAAGGCCCUGCUUUUGUGGGGUGCUCGAGUGGCGAACGGGUGAGUAACACGUGAGUAACCUGCCCUUGACUUUGGGAUAACUUCAGGAAACUGGGGCUAAUACCGGAUAGGAGCUCCUGCUGCAUGGUGGGGGUUGGAAAGUUUCGGCGGUUGGGGAUGGACUCGCGGCUUAUCAGCUUGUUGGUGGGGUAGUGGCUUACCAAGGCUUUGACGGGUAGCCGGCCUGAGAGGGUGACCGGCCACAUUGGGACUGAGAUACGGCCCAGACUCCUACGGGAGGCAGCAGUGGGGAAUAUUGCACAAUGGGCGGAAGCCUGAUGCAGCAACGCCGCGUGCGGGAUGACGGCCUUCGGGUUGUAAACCGCUUUCGCCUGUGACGAAGCGUGAGUGACGGUAAUGGGUAAAGAAGCACCGGCUAACUACGUGCCAGCAGCCGCGGUGAUACGUAGGGUGCGAGCGUUGUCCGGAUUUAUUGGGCGUAAAGGGCUCGUAGGUGGUUGAUCGCGUCGGAAGUGUAAUCUUGGGGCUUAACCCUGAGCGUGCUUUCGAUACGGGUUGACUUGAGGAAGGUAGGGGAGAAUGGAAUUCCUGGUGGAGCGGUGGAAUGCGCAGAUAUCAGGAGGAACACCAGUGGCGAAGGCGGUUCUCUGGGCCUUUCCUGACGCUGAGGAGCGAAAGCGUGGGGAGCGAACAGGCUUAGAUACCCUGGUAGUCCACGCUGUAAACGGUGGGUACUAGGUGUGGGGUCCAUUCCACGGGUUCCGUGCCGUAGCUAACGCUUUAAGUACCCCGCCUGGGGAGUACGGCCGCAAGGCUAAAACUCAAAGGAAUUGACGGGGUCCCGCACAAGCGGCGGAGCAUGCGGAUUAAUUCGAUGCAACGCGUAGAACCUUACCCGGGUUUGACAUGGAUCGGGAGUGCUCAGAGAUGGGUGUGCCUCUUUUGGGGUCGGUUCACAGGUGGUGCAUGGCUGUCGUCAGCUCGUGUCGUGAGAUGUUGGGUUAAGUCCCGCAACGAGCGCAACCCUUGUUCACUGUUGCCAGCACGUUAUGGUGGGGACUCAGUGGAGACCGCCGGGGUCAACUCGGAGGAAGGUGAGGAUGACGUCAAGUCAUCAUGCCCCUUAUGUCCAGGGCUUCACGCAUGCUACAAUGGCUGGUACAGAGAGUGGCGAGCCUGUGAGGGUGAGCGAAUCUCGGAAAGCCGGUCUCAGUUCGGAUUGGGGUCUGCAACUCGACCUCAUGAAGUCGGAGUCGCUAGUAAUCGCAGAUCAGCAACGCUGCGGUGAAUACGUUCCCGGG